GGGCAGGUGGCGGAGUGGACAAUCGCACCAGACUGUAAAUCUGGCGGGCUUUGCCCUUCGGAGGUUCGAAUCCUCCCCUGCCCA
rfam:Candidatus Omnitrophica bacterium 4484_70.1 ex4484_70.1_scaffold_225, whole genome shotgun sequence.